GAUAUCAGCUGUUAUCCCUGUCUAGCAUCAGUCCCCAGGCGCUAUGCUAACAGUCUCCUCUACAAGCCAAUUUACAAGAAUUCCGGUCAUGUUUACAUUAGCCCUCUCCCAGUGCAUGAAAAGAGCAGGCGCGAGCCGCGGAAUAGAAAUGAGCAAAUAUGAAUAAUUCAAUCCUUCCGGCCAUUAACACGUUUCCCUCGAACAAAGUGAUAAUAGGUUAUCAUCUGUGAAAUGGAAAUUUCAUAAACCAGGCCAGGAGAAGACCGUCUCCGGUUACACCAGAGGAAAUUAAUUUCACAGCACAUCUGCUUCGCCAGAGCCCCGACCCUCUAACGCUAAGGGGAGUGCCGCAAAGCUCUGCUCCUCCAUCAAAAGCCUUACAGCCACGGAGGCCCGGAGGAUCAUCAACAAUGACAGCAUCAAAAACAAGCGCUUGCUGUUUUGGGGGACGAAACAAUUGCUUCUCAGAAAAGAAUCAUCAAAAUGCCUUUUUGAGUCCUGCGGGGAGGAAGAAGUGCAGCUUCGGGCCCUAGUCACGGUGGCCUCAGAGAUAGGCCGCCCAGGAUAACAAGCAAACGGCUGUGGGCCGCUGACACCAUUUCCUCCCAGAACAAAGCCCCCUCGCCCCGCAUGGACUCUGGUAGAUACAUGGAGCCCUAAUAUGGCUGGACAAGCCACCGACGGGUCAUUAAUCAAGACACUGUGACAGCCACCUCUUCCCCAAUCCAGCCUGGGCUUCAACCCCCAGACAAGCCCACUCAACUCUGUACCCACAGGAGGCAACCAGGGGGAGGCAGGGAGAACACAGCCUUAGAUAUCAGAUAUGGACGGAAUGGGCACAGGGAAGACAGAAGGCAAAAAAGUACAGAAAAGAAAAGAGAGGGCACCUUUCGGUCUGACUGGGAA